ensembl:processed_transcript 8030451A03Rik uncharacterized LOC110322759
ACAGAAAUAUGUUACAAGGAGGGAUCACAGCAGACCAUCAUCAGGAGGUACAUACAUGGAAUAUCCUGGACUUGGAUAGACAACAAUGAUUCUACUUUUUCAAAUGGAGCUGAACUUGUUUCCACAUCAUUUUGGCAACUCUAAGGUGAAUUGUCUCCCACUGAGGCCAGACAAGGUGGCCCAACUAGAGGAAUAGGAUCAGAUAGGAAUAGAAGCAGAUUCAGAGCCAGCCCCCUGCUCCAGUUGUGGGGAGGUGGGGGAUACAUGGAGACCAAGCUGCACAUCUGCAACAUCUGUGUGAGGGGCCUUGGUCUAGCCCAAGCUAUCCCCUUGGCUGGUGGUUCAGUCUCUGCUGUACUGCACUCUACUUGUAAAAUGAAUGUUCAGCAGGUUAUGGAGGCUCAUUCCGUCGUGAUCCUGGCAUUUGAAAGGUUCAAGCCUGAGAAUCACCACGGGUCUGAGGCCAGCCUGGUGUGCAGAACGAAACCUUUUCUAGAAGACAAACAAUCAGAACCAACCAACCCAAACCCCCAAGAACAAACAAGAGACCCUUUCACUAACAAAAACAAGUUUUCUCCAAAAGUGCUGGGAAACAUCGUAAUUCUAGCUAUCCUUCAGCCUUAAAGUGAGGAAGAUUGCUCAGACUAGACACUGUUCUGUCCCCCUGGACUAUUUAUAUUUUACAUAUAGUAAUAAUACUGAGUAAUUCAUUUGUUGUGCUAUUUCCAUAGUGCACAUAAAACACUUUGAUAAUCAGUCUUCUACCGCCUUGCCUACCCUUGCCCUCCUCCAUUUACUUGUUUCUUUCUCCUAAUUUGCAUAUGCAAGAGAAACAUGCAGUGCUUGUCUUCCUGUGUGAGUGUAGCUUAUUUCACUUAGCAUGGUGAUCUCUAGCUCCGUCCAUUUUUUCUGCAAACGCCAUAGCUGUAUUUUUCUUUACAGCUGAAUAAAACUCCUCUGGGU